rnacentral:tRNA from 1 species
CGGGGUGUAGGUCAUCGGUAGACCGCUUGUAUGGGGUACAAGAAGUAGUGGGUUCAAUUCCCGCCACCCCGA